GAAACUAGAGAUAUGGUGACGGUAGUGGUC
rnacentral:piRNA from 1 species